ACAAUGCGAAGAAGAGGAGGAGGACGACGACGACCGCGAGCUUCAUGGGUUUAUAGAUACUCCUUGGCAGCCAGUCUUUGUAUGGAGUCCACCGUGAUCUACUGUAUAGAGGGUCCAGUGACUAAUAGGGGGUCUCUGCAAACUUUCAAUGAGGACCAUUAGACUUCUUGAGAAGGAUUGGCUCAGGGAAGGAUUGACUGCAACCAUCUCACCCCAACCCCUGGGUGCAUCAGCAUUGGAUAUUAUGGGUUAAACCUCCUGUCUAUUGUUUAGGGUCACUAAUGGUUAAAGAAGUGGACUUGUGUUCAGAUGGAUGAAGAUUCAGUCUCAGUACUAGCAGGGAUUGUACAUGUUGGGAUUGAAUAACCAGCACUCUCAACACACUCUAUACCAGUGGUGGGCAAACUUUUUAGACCUGAGGACCACAUUAAGUUUUGCAAACUAAGUGAA